rnacentral:rRNA from 1 species
AUUGAACGCUGGCGGCAUGCUUUACACAUGCAAGUCGAACGGCAGCACAGGGAGCUUGCUCCCGGGUGGCGAGUGGCGCACGGGUGAGUAAUACAUCGGAACGUGUCCUGUUGUGGGGGAUAACUGCUCGAAAGGGUGGCUAAUACCGCAUGAGACCUGAGGGUGAAAGCGGGGGAUCGCAAGACCUCGCGCAAUUGGAGCGGCCGAUGCCCGAUUAGCUAGUUGGUGAGGUAAAGGUUCACCAAGGCGACGAUCGGUAGCUGGUCUGAGAGGACGACCAGCCACACUGGGACUGAGACACGGCCCAGACUCCUACGGGAGGCAGCAGUGGGGAAUUUUGGACAAUGGGGGGCAACCCUGAUCCAGCCAUGCCGCGUGCAGGAUGAAGGCCUUCGGGUUGUAAACUGCUUUGUCAGGGACGAAAAGGACCGUGUUAAUACCAUGGUCUGCUGACGGUACCUGAAGAAUAAGCACCGGCUAACUACGU